rnacentral:rRNA from 1 species
GAAAGAUGAAAAGAACUUUGAAAAGAGAGUUAAACAGUACGUGAAAUUGUUGAAAGGGAAACGAUUGAAGUCAGUCAUACCAACGGGAAAUCAACCUUUUGAGCUUGGUUUCGUGGGUUUUGAAGAGUUUCAAAGCCUUCGGAUUCGCGAGAUUGGGAUCUCUUGGUGUACUUUUUCGUACGGUUAGUCAACAUCGGUUUUGAAUGUCAUAAAAUGACUGGAGGAAUGUAGCUUCGAUCUCGUAUUGAAGUGUUAUA